GGCGAACGCUGGCGGCGUACUUAACACAUGCAAGUCGAACGGAAAGGCCCUGCUUUUGUGGGGUGCUCGAGUGGCGAACGGGUGAGUAACACGUGAGUAACCUGCCCUUGACUUUGGGAUAACUUCAGGAAACUGGGGCUAAUACCGGAUAGGAGCUCCUGCUGCAUGGUGGGGGUUGGAAAGUUUCGGCGGUUGGGGAUGGACUCGCGGCUUAUCAGCUUGUUGGUGGGGUAGUGGCUUACCAAGGCUUUGACGGGUAGCCGGCCUGAGAGGGUGACCGGCCACAUUGGGACUGAGAUACGGCCCAGACUCCUACGGGAGGCAGCAGUGGGGAAUAUUGCACAAUGGGCGGAAGCCUGAUGCAGCAACGCCGCGUGCGGGAUGACGGCCUUCGGGUUGUAAACCGCUUUCGCCUGUGACGAAGCGUGAGUGACGGUAAUGGGUAAAGAAGCACCGGCUAACUACGUG
rnacentral:rRNA from 1 species